UGCUUAUCACUGCGCAGGCUCAGUAUGUUCCCGCGGGCCCACAGGCUAAAGCAUGCGCAGUGGGAGUGAUCCUGAGAAGCAGUUGCUUUUUGCCUCGGCUCCACAAAAGCAUGUUAGAAGAGGAUUUGCAGAUCGGAAACUCAAACCAAAUAUGAUACACCAAGAUCUAAGUGAGCCACUUUAUUCAUUCGGUCCUGGAUAUUAUUGGACUUUGAAUGCAGACCAGAACUGGACACAGUACUUCAGAAGAGGCCUCACCAACGUCCUGU